AGAUCUAUUGAUUUCAUGUUCCAUUGCAGGCUGAAGUGACACAGAGGUUGAGUAAUGCUAAGGAAGCAGCCAACAAACCUGCAUUGCAAAGUCAUGAGGAUCUUGCACGGAAACUUCAGGAGGAGAUGGAGAGAAAUCGCAAGACAUCAUCAGGCUCCAAGUCUGAUGGAUCUGGGAAGCGGAUGAAAGAAGUUGCCUGUCCCAUUUGCACUGUCCAUUUGCAGGUCCAAGUUCCCAGCUCAGGAUCUGAGACCAUUGAGUGUGGGGUUUGCCAGCAUCCUUUCCUUGUGAGUGCUCAUUGAUGGCAAACAAUUUCAAAUUAUCAUUGAAGGCACCCUCAUGUCUCUGUUAAAAUUUUUCAUUAUUUUCUACUGGUUGAUAUUUUGAUAUUUGGUAAAUUUCUUGGUUGUGUGAGCUUUGAUCUGAUAUCAACUCAGUGUGUAUAUGAAGUUAAUUUUACUUGGGAGCCUAUCAAUCAAGGCACAUUUUAUGUA